UACAGAGGUCUCAAGCGUUGUUCGGAUUCAUUGGGCGUAAAGGGUGCGUAGGUGGCGAGGCAAGUCAGAUGUGAAAUCCCGGGGCUCAACCCCGGAACUGCAUUUGAAACUGCCUUGCUCGAGUACUGGAGAGGAGACUGGAAUUUACGGUGUAGCAGUGAAAUGCGUAGAUAUCGUAAGGAAGACCAGUGGCGAAGGCGAGUCUCUGGGCCGAUACUGACGCUGAGGAGCGAAAGCGUGGGGAGCGAACAGG
rnacentral:rRNA from 1 species